rnacentral:rRNA from 1 species
CGGGUGAGUAAUGUCUGGGAAACUGCCUGAUGGAGGGGGAUAACUACUUGAAACGGUAGCUAAUACCGCAUAACGUCGCAAGACCAAAGAGGGGGACCUUAGGGCCUCUUGCCAUCGGAUGUGCCCAGAUGGGAUUAGCUAGUAGGUGGGGUAAUGGCUCACCUAGGCGACGAUCCCUAGCUGGUCUGAGAGGAUGACCAGCCACACUGGAACUGAGACACGGUCCAG